rnacentral:lncRNA from 1 species
UUUUGUCACAUAUACUUAUUUCCCAAAUUAAAAUCAAUCAUAAUCUAACACACGCAGGGGCAAAAUCGUAAGCAAUCUGUUUUUUAUUAAUUAAAAAUAUUUUAUUUUUGGCAUCUGUCCAAAUCAAAUCAAAGCACACAAAAUACCCUCAAAUCAUUACGUCCGAGAUCAUUACAUAUACACACCGUCCUGAAGAACGACUACUAUUGUAAGAAGAAGAAAGCUACGAGAUCGUGGAAACAUUGUAAUUCAUCAAUUGAAGGUCUGUACCACACAUCAUUCUCAUGGAUCUUAUAUCUUUUUCGUAAAAUUUGUUUAUUAUAACUUUUGUAUAAUCUGCAGACUCAUGUAUUCCUUUUCCAGAGAGAAAAUAACAGAGAAGAAUCUCCAUGAGAACACUGGCCAAAAUGACGGAGAAUAAUCUCCAUGCUGAGAUUCUUUUAGGUGUUUAGCUAGGUUCGAGGUUCUUAAGAUUUAUUAAGGUUUCUUUUUAUAAUGUCAUGUUUUAUGGCUUGUGAUUUUGGAUCGCUUGCUAUCUCAGAAUCGUCUUAAAUAUUGGCAAGUGCAGCAAAGUGUUUCUUGUAGCUUUUGUGGAGAGAUUCCUGAUUCUCUUUCACAUUUAUAUUUUCAGUGUGGAUUCUGUUACUUUGUCCUUCUGAAAUUUCAAAAGGGGCUAUUGUUUGCUGUACAAAAGGAAUUGGGAGGAGUAUAUUCGAGAAUCUGCUGUUGCUUGGCAAGGAAAAUCUUUGAAUGUUCUAAUUAAUAAGCUUGUCCUGCUGUAGUUUCUCAUCUUUGGAAUAAGAGAAAACGAAGGCUUUUUCAGAAGAAGAAUAAGUCUGUUGGGUAGAUUAUUGAUGAUAAAUCUGAUGAUAUUUGGAAAAAAUUGCAGGGAUUUCAGUUUUUAAUUCUCCGAGGGUGAGAGAUGAUUUGCUCAGAUAGGGUUUAAAUUCUGAGCUUCUGUUAAUCAAUCAUGUUUGAUAUGGGGGAGGUCUUGGUUUUGGUGACAGUCUAUUUUUGGCUGAGCCAAGAAUCCGCGUCUGCUAUUUGUUUCGGGGUUGUUUUUUUGCAUCAGCCUAGUGGAUUUGUAAGUUGAGUAUUGGCCGCCUGUUAUGGGUGAAAGCCUUCUUUUUUGUAUGUUUAGUCUUGGCCCCUGCUGGGAGAAAAUUUUAUCUGCUGACAUAUGUUUUGGGGCUGUGAGAAUGUUUUAAAAUCUGAUUUAUGGAUUGUCUGGAGCUUUUUUAUUUACCUGUUGAUAGAGAUUUAUUUCUGGAAAAGUCUGCGGAAAGUUGUUGAUGCUGCAGUUCAUUGGGCCAUUGUCUUUUUAUGUUGCUGUGGUAUAAUUGAUGGUAGUCCUAUUUUACUUUUAUGUGAUUGUUCCAGGAUUGCUCUAAUCGCAGGGGAUUGUUCUGCUUGAGUAAUUUCGAGGUGCUGCAGUUUUUUAGGUGGUCUGGCAUAGUUAAAUGUGUGGCAAAUUUUCUGUUUGAUAGUUAGAGGGUCUGUUAUGGGUGGAUGCUGCAGGAGUCGCUGCAAUGUAAGGGGUAUUUUUUUUUUAGUUCUUUUCCUCGACAAUUCCGUUGGCCGAGAUGGUGGUGGAGUCCUUGCUUGCUGCUGUUGCUCGAGUAGAGUGGUUAUGGUGUUAAAGUUGCUUUUAAAUAUUUUCCGGCCGCCUGAUUUCGAGAUGUGCUCUAUUCCUAGCAGUAUUCUUUGAUUAAAUUUUAGGAAUUUAAUUUCGGGGGUCUGUGUAUCCAAGAUAUUUUAUUAAUUUAAAUAAUUAAUAUGUGUGCUAUGCAAGAUUCUUUUAAAAAUUUUGAGAUUUGUCUUGUAUAAAAUUUUUAUCCUAUGAUAUUCUUUUG